AGUGGCGGACGGGUGAGUAAUGCAUGGGAAUCUGCCUUGUAGUGGGGGAUAACGUGGGGAAACUCACGCUAAUACCCGCAUACGACCUACGGGUGAAAGGGGGGGCUCUUCGGACCUCUCGCUAUAAGAUGAGCCUAUGUCGGAUUAGCUAGUUGGUAGGGUAAAGGCCUACCAAGGCGACGAUCCAUAGCUGGUCUGAGAGGAUGAUCAGCCACACUGGGACUGAGACACGGCCCAGACUCCUACGGGAGGCAGCAGUGGGGAAUAUUGGACAAUGGGCGGAAGCCUGAUCCAGCAAUACCGCGUGUGUGAAGAAGGCCUGAGGGUUGUAAAGCACUUUCAAUGGGAAGGAAUACCUAACGGCGAAUACCCGUUAGACUGACAUUACCCAUACAAGAAGCACCGGCUAACUCCGUGCCAGCAGCCGCGGUGGUACGGAGGGUGCAAGCGUUAAUCGGAAUUACUGGGCGUAAAGCGUGCGUAGGCGGUUCGUUAAGUCAGAUGUGAAAGCCCUGGGCUCAACCUGGGAACUGCAUUUGAUACUGGCGAACUAGAGUUGAGUAGAGGAGAGUGGAAUUUCAGGUGUAGCGGUGAAAUGCGUAGAGAUCUGAAGGAACACCAGUGGCGAAGGCGGCUCUCUGGACUCAAACUGACGCUGAGGUACGAAAGCGUGGGUAGCAAACAGGAUUAGAUACCCUGGUAGUCCACGCCGUAAACGAUGUCAACUAACCGUUGGGUUCUUAAAGAACUUAGUGGUGGAGCUAACGUAUUAAGUUGACCGCCUGGGGAGUACGGCCGCAAGGCUAAAACUCAAAUGAAUUGACGGGGGCCCGCACAAGCGGUGGAGCAUGUGGUUUAAUUCGAUGCAACGCGAAGAACCUUACCUACCCUUGACAU
rnacentral:rRNA from 1 species